rnacentral:rRNA from 1 species
CCUACGGGGGGCAGCAGUCGAGAAUCAUUCACAAUGGGGGAAACCCUGAUGGUGCGACGCCGCGUGGGGGAAUGAAGGUCUUCGGAUUGUAAACCCCUGUCAUGUGGGAGCAAAUUAAAAAGAUAGUACCACAAGAGGAAGAGACGGCUAACUCUGUGCCAGCAGCCGCGGUAAUACAGAGGUCUCAAGCGUUGUUCGGAAUCACUGGGCGUAAAGGGUGCGUAGGCUGUUUCGUAAGGCGUGUGUGAAAGGCGCGGGCUCAACCCGCGGACGGCACAUGAUACUGCGAGACUAGAGUAAUGGAGGGGGAACCGGAAUUCUCGGUGUAGCAGUGAAAUGCGUAGAUAUCGAGAGGAACACUCGUGGCGAAGGCGGGUUCCUGGACAUUAACUGACGCUGAGGCACGAAGGCCAGGGGAGCGAAAGGGAUUAGAUACCCUUGUAGUC